UGAAUGGAACAAUGUGGUAAUUAUGGAAGGAGAAAAAAAGUUUGUCGAAACAUGUCGACAUGGGAUCUAGUUUUAAAGAUCUUGCCGCGACAAAGCUAACAGUGAAAACAGAUCAUCGAUUGAAUUAACGGUUUUAAAAAUAAAACAUUUUAAAUUUUAAGCAUUGAAAAGAAUCUUUACGUUUACUUUUAGGUGCAUGUGCAUGCGAGUCACCGCAUAAAAGCACCAGCAUACGGCGUCCCUGCAUAGUUGAAUCCUAUUUUAUUUGCCUAUGAAACCUUGUCGUAUGGUUGUAAGGGCUUCCAAAGCUUCAAUAAAAUUGUUAGCGUUAGGUAUCUUCAGUCUAGUUCGCUAUAAGGUCGGGCAAUUAUGCCCCCUGUAUACGACGCUGGCAACCGAGCAAUGGGAGAUCUAACAGCUACCAACAUCAAUUAUUGUCUCUUUUCGCAAAAAAAAAGUCAGUUAUUGUCUCAAAUGGAGAAACAAUAUAUAUCGGCUACCAACAUCAAUUAUUGUCUCUUUUCGCAAAAAAAAAAGUCAGUUAUUGUCUCAAAUGGAGAAACAAUAUAUAUCAACGAUUAAGAAACUCCAAUUUUCCUUGCAAAAAAAAAACGAUUAAGAAACUUGACAAAAUGAAACAAAAAUAUGUUCCUGGCGGGGCUCACCGGCGACUCUGAUGAAACAACAAUAUGCUCCUGGCGGGGCUCGAGUCUCGAAGGGAGAAAGAAAUACUUAUAUAUUAACGGCUAACAAAAAAGAACAAAAUGGUGCUCCCGGCGGGGCUCGAACCCGCGACCUUCGGCUCAUAAGACCAACGCUCUAACCAACUGAGCUACGGGGGCUUUUUUAUUAAGUCUAUUAUUAACUCUUAAUAACUACAUUUAAUCUGUCACGUUCACAUAUUACCUACAUUGAAACGUUUCCAGGAUCACGAUUUUCACAAGUCCUUUUCUGUUAUUUGUUUCAUUCCUAUGGUUGCCAUAUAUAGGAUCGUUUUAUGACGCUGUUUUUUU
rnacentral:lncRNA from 1 species